CAGUCCUCGGGGAGGAAGCUACCAGGCCAGUUCAGCUAACUUCCUUCAAGUCCUGUGUCUCAGGUAAGUCGGAUUGAUUGACACAGAUAUCAAGAACAUAAAGAGAUUGGGACAACCACAGCUGGAAGGAUCUCUGAGCUAACAAUAAGAAACUGAACCAAACUUUUCGGAGGAUAAUGGCGCACAAAUCACUUGCUGUAAUGGGUGUUUCUACCUCACAAUGCAACCAAGUCCAUUGUGCAGGAGAUAAUAGAACUCUCUCACAAAAGUUGCUACAUUGUUGCCAAGCAACAAGAAAUAAAGUGUCAAGAGGAGAAAGCGCUCCUGAAGUGUCUCCAUGAAGUAACAUCUUAGUCAACUAUAGGCAAAGCCAAAUAUCACACAAAAGAUGUCACACAGCAUGACCAUCGGAUGAAAAGGCUAGAAUACAGUCACAUUUUCAUACCCCAAAGUGGGUCCUACAAAGUCCUCCCAAAGGAAGACGAUGCCAAAUUUCAAGUAACAUUUGGUUCCAAAGUGAUCCUCAAAGCCAAGCUGAGAAUCAGUUUGAAGUCUCCUUCACAUAUGU
rnacentral:lncRNA from 1 species